CACGUAGGCACCAAGCGUUGUCCGGAUUUAUUGGGCGUAAAGAGCUCGUAGGCGGUUCAGUAAGUCGGGUGUGAAAACUCUGGGCUCAACCCCAGAGACGCCACCCGAUACUGCUGUGACUUGAGUACGGUAGGGGAGUGGGGGAAUUCCUGGUGUAGCGGUGGAAAUGCGCAGAUAUCAGGAGGAACACCAGUGGCGAAGGCGCCACUCUGGGCCGUAACUGACGCUGAGGAGCGAAAGCGUGGGUAGCAAACAGG
rnacentral:rRNA from 1 species